AGCGGCGGACGGGUGAGUAACGCGUGGGUAACCUGCCUCAUACAGGGGGAUAACAGUUAGAAAUGACUGCUAAUACCGCAUAAGACCACGGUACUGCAUGGUACAGUGGUAAAAACUCCGGUGGUAUGAGAUGGACCCGCGUCUGAUUAGCUAGUUGGUGGGGUAACGGCCUACCAAGGCGACGAUCAGUAGCCGACCUGAGAGGGUGACCGGCCACAUUGGGACUGAGACACGGCCCAA
rnacentral:rRNA from 1 species